AGAUUGAACGCUGGCGGCAUGCCUAACACAUGCAAGUCGAACGGGAGUAGCAAUACUCUAGUGGCGGACGGGUGAGGAAUACGUAGGAAUUUGCCCUUAAGUGGGGGAUAACCCGGGGAAACCCGGAUUAAUACCGCAUGACCUCGAAAGAGCAAAGUGGGGGAUCGCAAGACCUCACGCUUUUGGAGAAGCCUACGUCGGAUUAGCUAGUUGGUGAGGUAAUGGCUCACCAAGGCGACGAUCCGUAACUGGUCUGAGAGGAUGAUCAGUCACACCGGAACUGAGACACGGUCCGGACUCCGUACGGGGGCAGGCAGGUGGGAAUAGUUGGACAAGUGGGCGACAAGCCUGAUCCAGGACAAUGACCGCGGUGUGUAGAAGAACGGUCCGUUACGGUUAGUAAA
rnacentral:rRNA from 1 species